rnacentral:ncRNA from 1 species
AAAUUUCAUAUCUGUCGAUAUAAAUCAAAUGAUACGGUUUUGAAGUCUCUACCCGGUCGCCGUAAAUGACCGGACUAUCGACGAAA